UGUUGUCAGUGAUGUCACUAUUCUACCUACAUUGUUUGAAUGUUUAGCAUGAGAACAUUUUUGUAGCUGAGACAACC